ACAGGUGGCAGCAGCAGACUGGGACAUACAAAAAAAGGAGUAGCCUAAGUUUUAAGAUAUAGAUCUAAGCAAACCAGUGGUCUGUGGGCAUGGACUAUUGCUAUGGAACAAGAAGAGCUGCUAAAGAAAUACAGCCAGGUGGCUUGUCCUUAUAUGAACAGAAACCAGAAAGCAUUGAGAACUUCGAACUAAGCAGUGGUUUCAUCCUUGACAUGGGCAUGGCACAGGAGAAAAUGGAAGUAGACUUGGAGCUGUCGCCGAAUUCCACCACCUCAGAUGGCAAUGCCUUAAGAAUAGCCAACAGCGUCCCUUUGAUCAAUGGAUUUGGUGAUAAUUCACAGGUAUUCCAAGCUGACACGUUAAGAGUGAAAAGAAACAGCAUGACAUUUAUGAGCCAGCAUGCCCUGUUGUUCCUACCUUCUCCUAUUUGUACUUCUGCCAGCCGCUUGCAUCAAAUAAAACAGGAAGAAGGCAUGGAUGUAGUAAACAGAGAAGCAAUGCAUGAACGGGAGGUACACACUGCAAUACAGAUAAGUCAGUCUUGGGAAGAAAAUCUGAAACUGAAUGAUGAUGAUCUGGACAUACCAUCCGCUGUAAAGAGCAUUGAUCUAAUCCCAGUAUCCCAAGCAGCUUCUCUCACUAAAUGGAUUGGGAAGAAGUCACAGGCCCACCAACACUGUUAAAAUAACUAUCCUUGGACCCGGUAAAGAAAAGGUAAAAUACCACUUGAUGAAUAGCCAAGACACUGCCAACAUAUAUCCUGUGAUACUUCCCAGCUUUCAGUAAAGACUGUGUGGGAGAAGAGCUGGCUUAGGCAAAUACGGAACCUUUCCAGUCUGUUCAAGCCAUUACCAAUGGAUAGCUCCACCUGAAACAUCAGGUCCAUAGAUUAAAAUGAAAGAAGGCCACACACAUUCUCUGACUUUUCUUUCCAGUGGGGAUAAUUAAGAUGGGGAAAAGGGAAACUUUAUUUCUUUUUCUCUCUCAUUUUAAUUUUUUUUGGGCAGUUGAACCCAGGGGCA